UUACCAAGCAGGUAUUGUAACAGUUCCGUGUUUUGACAUUUCGUUUCAUUAUCAAAUAAUUGACAAUUUAUCGCCCUUUGUACCAACACGCCAUUUGUAAACAUGAAAGGUCGUGUGAAAGGAAAUUUUUAAACAGUAAUUUGACGAUUGAUUUAAAAGGGAUAAUGAAUGUCAUUGAGCGAUUUACUGAUCAACUAUUGAUGAACUACUGAGAAACAUCUGGCAUAUUGCUAUGACCUUAAACAAAAAAAGGAAUUCUCAAGGCAUGCCUACAUAUCACAUGUUGGAAGAGUUUGUGGAAUGGCUGAAGGAAGAAAGAAUUUCCAGCCACAAAAAUAAAAUUCUUUAUGAAUUUGUGAAUGGAAAUGAAACCCAAGGAACUAAUAUAUUUGCUUACCAUCCAGUUGAAAGUAUGCCAAUGGAAUAAAGUGCAACUGUCAAAGAAGUGCACAAAAUAAGGUCAUGUUUUCUGCAAAAGUUCACCAAGCUGAUUCAAACUACAAAUGGGAGUCAAGAAAAAAGUAAAACUAACUGAACUGCCACAGUUCAACUGUGAGAAAUGUUUGGUAAAAGUAUGUUUUGUUGUCAGAACAGCAGUGAAGUGGUUAGAGUAAAACUGUCUUCAUUGUUUAAGCAAUACAGAUUUUUUUUAAAAAACAUACUCCAUGCAUAAUAUAUCUUGAGUGCUCUUUUUUAUUUAAAUAAUCAUACAGUUUCAAGAAAUUUGACAAUAAAUGCUAUCUUUAAUUUUAUAAGAAAAUAGUGCAUUGUUGCCAUGGUAUUAAACAUUAAUCUGACUAUAAAUUAUUGUAAAACAUC